CGAGUGGACCUCGGGAGCGAUGACAGAAGAGAGAGAGCACAACCCAGCACCAGCGAGGAAAAGCCUCGCUUCUGCGAGGGCCGUGUGCUCUCUGCUCUCACUGUCAUCGCCCACAGGCCACCGAA